rfam:Schistosoma haematobium scaffold1075_26, whole genome shotgun sequence.
ACCCAGCUGACGAGUCCCAAAUUAGACGAAAUGUGCGUCCUGGAU